rnacentral:rRNA from 1 species
UACGUAGGGUGCAAGCGUUGUCCGGAAUUAUUGGGCGUAAAGGGCGCGUAGGCGGCCUGGCAAGUGGAAGGUGAAAUCCCUCGGCUUAACCGAGGAACUGCCUCCCAAACUGCUUGGCUUGAGACCAGGAGAGGUGAGUGGAAUUCCCAGUGUAGCGGUGAAAUGCGUAGAUAUUGGGAGGAACACCAGUGGCGAAGGCGGCUCACUGGACUGGUACUGACGCUGAGGCGCGAAAGCGUGGGGAGCAAACGGG